CCUACGGGGGGCUGCAGUAAGGAAUAUUGGUCAAUGGAGGGAACUCUGAACCAGCCAUCCCGCGUGCAGGAUGAAGGGGCUCUGCCCUGUAAACUGCUUUUGAAUGGGACGAAAAAGCCUCACUUGUGAGGAACUGACGGUACCAUUAGAAUAAGCACCGGCUAACUCCGUGCCAGCAGCCGCGGUAAUACGGAGGGUGCAAGCGUUAUCCGGAAUCACUGGGUUUAAAGGGUGCGUAGGCGGUUGUAUAAGUCAGUGGUGAAAGGCCGUAGCUUAACUAUGGGAUUGCCAUUGAUACUGUAUGACUUGAAUGAGGUUGAGGUUGGCGGAAUGUGGCAUGUAGCGGUGAAAUGCUUAGAUAUGCCAUGGAACAUCGAUUGCGAAGGCAGCUGACUGGACCUGAAUUGACGCUGAGGCACGAAAGCGUGGGGAGCGAACAGGCUUAGAUACCCCGGUAGUC
rnacentral:rRNA from 1 species